GUGCCAGCAGCCGCGGUAAGACGAACCGUGCGAACGUUGUUCGGAAUCACUGGGCUUAAAGGGCGCGUAGGCGGGCUGCCAAGUCCGGGGUGAAAGCCCUCCGCUCAACGGAGGAAUGGCCUUGGAUACUGGCGACCUGGAGGAAGGUAGGGGCGUGCGGAACUCUCGGUGGAGCGGUGAAAUGCGUAGAUAUCGGGAGGAACGCCGGUGGCGAAAGCGGCACGCUGGACCUUUUCUGACGCUGAGGCGCGAAAGCCAGGGGAGCAAACGGGAUUAGAUACCCCGGUAGUCC
rnacentral:rRNA from 1 species